AUUGAACGCUGGCGGCAGGCUUAACACAUGCAAGUCGAGCGAGAGGCGGACGGGUGAGUAAUGUAUGGGAAACUGCCUGACGGAGGGGGAUAACUAAUGGAAAAGGUAGAUAAUACCGCAUCACAUCAGAUGUGGUCAGGUGGGCUGAGCUAGUCGGUGGGGGAAUGGCCAACCUAGGCGACGCUCCCUAGCUGGUCUGAGCGGAGUAGCAGGCACACUGGCACGGAGACACGGUCCAGACUCCUACGGGAGGCAGCAGUGGGGAAUAUUGCACAAUUGACGAAAGUCUGACGGAGCAACGCCGCGUGAGUGAUGACGGCCUUCGGGUUGUAAAGUCUUUUAAUCGGGACGACGGUACCGGAAUAGAAAGCCACGGCUAACUACGUGCCAGCCGCCGCGGUAAUAC
rnacentral:rRNA from 1 species